GUUUAAAGGCUGGUUACAGAUGAAUGGGACUAAUGGCCUCCACCUGAUUUUUACAAGAUAGCUAUUUAAUCCAACAAUUCUAAGUGCUGUUUCCUAACACAGUACUACUGUUACCAGAUGAAAGUGCUAUGGAUUCUUUCCAAGGAAUAUCUCGUCACUUCAUUAUACCUGAAAAACAGUGAAGCUUCUGUGAAGUGAAGGCUCUACGAAACACAGGGAUGUAAUUCUGCACCCAGAAGAGUUUAUCCUGCAGUACUUCACCAUUCUGCAACUAGAAGGCCUGGAGAUGGAGGACAAAUACACGGCAAUGGAAUCCUUAUGCACUUGAUACAGUCUGGAUGAUGGGUUUACUUCAAUCUCUGAGUGUGAAUUUGUUAGUACAAACUCCGAAGAAGUGAAGGAUAUCCAGAAUAAAGCAAAAGCCCACAACUGGGAGAGAAACUUUCACCAAAAUUCUUUUAAAGACAUCCUCUUUUUAUUCUUGUAUUUUCUUAUGUGCUCUUACUUCUUUUUGUGUUCCUUCCACCUCACUGAUAGGAAGGACAUAAAUGGCUCUCUGUGCAAGAACUGGAGUGCAAGAAAGUGCUGCUGAAGACACAGGCUGAAUCUGUGCUCCUAACAAUAUCAGCUUGUGGAAAUAAGACUUGCUACUUGAAAAGCUGCCUAUUGACAUUUUUGUUUUUCCUUUUAAUUAGAGAUAUCAGAAUACAUUACCUACAUUGAGAAGAGCAGUAAGGGUGAUGUAAGCUAUGGGUGAGGUUUUGGACAUUUCAUUUGUCCAGUUUCAUUAGUUCUGCUGUGGCCAGAUUCACUGGCUCCAGCUUUCAUAGUUUCAGGACCUUUCUCCCUGCUGGAAUUUCCUUUAGUUGAGGCAGAAAGAAAUGAGCUUAUUUUGGAGGGCCAAAGUUUUUUUGUGAAAAUGAGGAACUGCACACCACAUAUUACUGUCUCUGCAGAGGUGGAGGGCUAAAUUGGAUUGGUUUAAUCACAGAACCACACCAUAAAAUAUAUAUAUUAAAAUGGCCUUUUUCCCCCCCUUUCCUUUCUUUUAUUUUUUUUUCCUUCUGCAAUAUCCCUGAACCAUUUUCUGUGAGCUACAGUUCUAGCAAAUAAUUCCCUCCUUUAAAAUGAUCCAGAAGCAUCUCUAAGACUUUGACAGAGCUGUUGUCUCUUAUGCUUAAUGGCUUGAAAUUCUGUCAGAAGAAGGAAGAGCAUAAGGGUACCAUGCAAGCCUGCUUAUGCUGCCUACCAGCAAACCUCAGCUCUGCAGUUUGGGCAACACUGCUGAGAAUCUACUGACAAUUUUCACAUAACUCAAAAAAUGGCACUAGGAUUUGUUAUAGAAAGCACCUGAGCAUCUCCUGAGACCAAGGUUAACUCCUGAAGGAAAUGGAGGUGCAAUAACUUGUUCAAAGCUAUGCAGCAGAAAUAAAGGGCCUGGCUAUGACCCUAAGCCAGUGUCUUCAUUUCUGGCUCAUUCAGUCUCUUGGUGAUGUGAUUUUUUCACAGCACAUUCAGGUCUAGAAACAAGGGAACAGGACCACAGGGAGAGGUAUAAAUGCAACAAAACCUGCUAAAUUUGGUUUCCACAUAGCUGUCAUGCUCCUUAGGAGAUGCGGUUCCUUUGCUUGUGCCUUGGAAUGUUUAGCAAAAGGGUUCUGUGAGUAACAUUAUAGCUUUAUAAAGAGUAAUCCAAUUCUUUUAGUCUGAAAUGUCUCUUCAUAUGUUUAGGAAGAAGCCAAAUAAGAGGGAGAACAAGAUGUCCAAAGGAACAUAAGAUGUAUAUUUGCUCUGUCAGUUUUCUUCAAGAAAAGAAGAACUAUACUCCCUACAAGUUUGAGAUUAGUUCACUUCUUGGGAGUUGGCACUGCAGAGAGCAUAUACUUGUAGGGCUACAUUCACACAAAAAUCUGCUUCAUACAGACUACUGAUUUAGAUGUUAAUUUAGGAGCAUAGGCUCUCUCUGUAGUCACUGGAGCCUAAAUUAACAUCUUGCAAUUCCCUUGAAAGGACUCACCUUUCUCUAUUGAGUACAGAGCGACCUGAGGCUCCUAAUUCAGGCACACAGGUCCCACAGGCACACAGCUUAGGGACGGCCCAGCGUGUUAGCCUUGUACAAACCAGACCCUGUUCAAACCUUGCACACCUCUCAUUUGCUGAGCAGGGCAGAGAUCUCAUAGCACAGACCUUGCUGUGAACCUGUAUCACUGAGCAAGGAGCCGAGGGUCUUUGCCAAACGUUGCCAGAUCACAGCCUUGUCAGAGCAGGGGAUGGCUUUGGUCGGCCUAGAAGUCAAGAAGUUUUCACAGGAGCAAAAGUCCUCACUGAGAGUAAAUUGCUGGAGCACACUGGCAGAGAGCAGGACAGCUUUUGGAGUGAGGGGGGUGAACACCACGAGCAAGGGCCCUGCUGGAUGUGUUGUACUCCAGAGAAUCAGCAUGGCUGUGGCACACCUCACCUCUCCUUGAGGGUGAGGGGAGAAGUGGAGAUGAUUAACUCAGGGCAGGGAGUGAAGGUGCCUGCAAAUCCCUGACUUCUACGUCCACCUCUGCCAAGGGCUCUUCCUGGCACCCUGCACAAGUUGCCGGUCUCCUGCUCAGCCUCCACCUCUUGCGAGGAGAAUGACUUUAUUUACAGGAGGUGAUGUCACAACAGCGUUGUGAGGGGAUGUGACUCAGUGUUUUUGUAUAAUGCUUUGAAGACGAAGAGUGCUAAGUAUUGUUAUUUGAGAUGGCAACAAAAUAAAACAAAAUGUGUUCGGUGCGGCUAUUCAAGCCAAAUCCAUUUUCAGUUAAUCUUCCAAGCAGGAAUUCAAAAUCAAAGUAAAAAGCCUCGCCAACUGGAACUUUACAGCUUGAUGGGAAAGUAUGAAAGAGAAUUAAUUGGGUUUUAAAUAGUUGUAACUGUAUUGUGAUGCAGCAUGAUCUGGAGCGCUCGGCUGCUGCUGGUUGCCAACUGGUUUGGAGCUGGGAUUGCUCAAGGGAAUCUUUUUUUUGCAGCAAAGAAAAAUAGCUGGGCCAUCGUGCACAGCUCUAUAGACUGACAGGAACUGCCUCUGUGCUCUCUAUGAAAACAUGCACUUUUUCCACUUCGUGCUGCUUUUUUUUUUUUUUUUUCAGCAAUGCAAAAACAGUGGAAGAUGUGGAAAGCAACAGAAUUGCCCAACACCACCACAGAGCACCUCAUGGGGAUUGUCUCCCCUCCCAGAAAGGAGGGAUGGCAAAAUACGAUGGCAAAGCCUGUUAUAAAUACCUGUUCAAAGCAAGUUCUCCAUAAAAUAGGCGUACCAGCACACUGGCUUCCUGGGAGCAUUGCUAAAUCCAGAUCACUUGCAGAUGACUUUCAAGCUCUGUACUGAAAUUAGCAAAGUUCCACGACUGUUAACUGCCAAAGACUUGCUUCUUGUAAGGAAAAGUCUGUGUGCAUUGGCUUCACAUUUUUCACCUGAUGUUCAAAGGGGCUUGGAGACGGCUCUCAGCCUCUUGUGUUUGGUGGGGUUUGUCAAUAUGAAGUGCCCUUAUAAGUGGGCUAUUUAGUGCUUUCCCACUUUCAGUGAAUGCAGUGUUUUGUAGCUAAGCCGUACUGUUUGGGUUUUCCUGCUCUGUCCUCAAAUCCUAUUUUUUGUUUUCUUAAUACUUUUGAAGUUACUCGUUCCUAAAAUAUGACUCUCAGUAAACAUUUCAGCACUUUAAUUUGGCUUAAAUUUUACACUUUAAUAUUCAAGUUCCAAAAUAGUGCCAAGAUGAUGAGCCAAGAAAAAAGAUGAUGGCUCUGGAAGCAUCUCUUUUCAAUAUCUUUUACUUCUGCUAAGCUAUAUACACAAGAAGCUGCCUUACAAACAGCUUUAUAUUGCACUCUAUUGCCAAUCAUUGGAAAAACAUGCCAUAAUGGGUUGCAAAUGGCAUAAUGUUAUGCAGCCAGAAUGAACAAUAUCAUUGGAAAGAUAUCAUAUUGAUAAAAGCAGGCAUGGAGAAAAUAAAUCUAAAGUCUCUCUAUCACAAGUAAUAGAAGAGAGGAAAAAUUACAGAUGUUUUUUUCUACUCAGAAACAACCUGAGCCAACAGCACUUUGCUUGCUGAAAUGUUUUCUCUCUUAUAUUCCAAACAAAAUUUGUUUUUCCUUUACAGCCAUGUUUGCUGUUGUUUCUUUGCAUAAAUCAUUUUUCUCACCUUUAGAAAGCAGCUUCUCUCUAAGAAUCCAUUAAUUAGCUGUCAGAGGAAAGCAAAAAUCAUACAUUCACAAACACUGAGCGGACAGAGCGGUCCUGAAACACCCACAGCAAACAUUCAUUACUUCAAGUCUGGCAACGUUAAAAAUGCAGCACAGGACUGAUAGAUUUUUUUUUUUUUUUCCCCACUUUUUGGAGUGUAAUCAGUCUUUAUGAUUAUGCUUUACUGUCCAGUGUAAAAGUAACACAGCAAUUUAAAACCAUGUGAUGGAAGCCCUAUGCCCAGCAUACACUGGACUAGCUUUUCAAUUUCGGCUCCUCUGACACUGAGUGCUCAUCCCAGAGGGGUGAUCUUGCAGGCUGCUUAUGCUCUGAACUUCUUUGUUUCAGUGCAGAACCCACUGGAGUCCACUUUGCAGGAGAAAGCUUGCUCAGAGUGCUGUGAGGCCUUUAGGGAAGGGGUGGAAGAUGAGAGGGGCAAUGGCUGCAGUCUUGCUGAGGUGGAUCCAUUGCCUUUGCUCUUCUGUCUCUGUUGUGUCCAUAUACGUAUGUGUAUGCAUAUCCAUCCUCUCUCAAACACAUACCAACACUGCUUUGGCUUAAUGGCCACCAUUGGAAACUGAGCAGAUCCUCGUGUGUCCCCAGACAGGCUGGAGACUGGGGUAUGGGGUAUACUACAGCUUGCUGGCAGUAGUAGCUACAGUCACUGGGCAGAAGGCAGGGUGCUCUGGGUCUGAGGGUUAGUUAGAACAAGCUCUCCUGUCUGUGCUGUGAGUGCACAGAGCACACAAGGCAGCAGACUCCUCGACAGCACACUCGGGGCGGGUGGCAAAACUAAAAAUCCCAGACUCAUGAAAAGAUACACAUCUUUUCCAAUUAUUAUUUUGGCAAUCUCGACUUUCCAAGUGCUUUCUGGAACACAUCCAGAAGCUGAGGAGCCCCUGGUCCCACACGGGGCAGCUUCUGACAUCCAUCGAACGGAGACUCACCCUGUAAAACUCCGCCUGGGAAGUUCUGUCAGAAAAUAAAGCACCAUUAACUGGGGAACAUAUGUGUCUCCUUUGUGUCUGCAUUGGGGGUGUCAGCUGUGUGACGGUCAUGCAGUUUAAUUAAGGCAAGGCACACUGAUGUGUGCAGUUUUAUUUCAGCUUGUUCUUCCUUGCAAACCUAAUGGACUUACUCAGCCCCUGAACAAGCCGGCAGUGUUUCUGCCAGAGGUCCCUGUGUGGAUGCUGUGGGCUUAUAGAACGCAUUGUCUGGUCCUACAGAAAUCCAGCUUCUGCCCGUAGUGAUUUGAGGGCAUUCUGUUAUUACUGCCUUCCUUUAGAAAAGGCGAUGGCUGAGACAGAAGGCUCUCAUUUUACUGCACGACGGAGAGGAUACGAUGGCUGUAACGUACAAUUCUGCCUUUUGUGGUGCUUAUUUUACAGACGGCUUAGGA